rnacentral:rRNA from 1 species
UACGGAGGAUCCGAGCGUUAUCCGGAUUUAUUGGGUUUAAAGGGAGCGUAGAUGGAUGUUUAAGUCAGUUGUGAAAGUUUGCGGCUCAACCGUAAAAUUGCAGUUGAUACUGGAUAUCUUGAGUGCAGUUGAGGCAGGCGGAAUUCGUGGUGUAGCGGGGAAAUGCUUAGAUAUCACGAAGAACUCCGAUUGCGAAGGCAGCCUGCUAAGCUGCAACUGACAUUGAGGCUCGAAAGUGUGGGUAUCAAACAGGAUUAGAUACCCUGGUAGUCCACACGGUAAACGAUGAAUACUCGCUGUUUGCGAUAUACUGCAAGCGGCCAAGCGAAAGCGUUAAGUAUUCCACCUGGGGAGUACGCCGGCAACGGUGAAACUCAAAGGAAUUGACGGGGGCCCGCACAAGCGGAGGAACAUGUGGUUUAAUUCGAUGAUACGCGAGGAACCUUACCCGGGCUUAAAUUGCAGAUGAAUUACGGUGAAAGCCGUAAGCCGCAAGGCAUCUGUGAAGGUGCUGCAUGGUUGUCGUCAGCUCGUGCCGUGAGGUGUCGGCUUAAGUGCCAUAACGAGCGCAACCCUUGUUGUCAGUUACUAACAGGUUCCGCUGAGGACUCUGACAAGACUGCCAUCGUAAGAUGUGAGGAAGGUGGGGAUGACGUCAAAUCAGCACGGCCCUUACGUCCGGGGCUACACACGUGUUACAAUGGGGGGUACAGAGGGCCGCUACCACGCGAGUGGAUGCCAAUCCCCAAAACCUCUCUCAGUUCGGACUGGAGUCUGCAACCCGACUCCACGAAGCUGGAUUCGCUAGUAAUCGCGCAUCAGCCAUGGCGCGGUGAAUACGUUCCCGGGCCUUGUACACACCGCCCGUCAAGCCAUGAAAGCCGGGGGUACCUGAAGUACGUAACCGCAAGGAGCGUCCUAGGGUAAAACUGGUGAUUGGGGCUAAGUCGUAACAAGGUAGCCGUACCGGAAGGUGCGGCUG